CCACGGCAACGACGCAGGUCCAAAAGGGUGGAGGCGAGGAAAGCCUUGAACUGGUGGAGACAGAGGCGGAGCUUGCUGCGGAAGUGGCUUUUUUGGCCAUUACUGCCGGGGAAAGAUGCUGCGUUUGGCGUGGUUGUUUUUGUCCCUGGAUCUGUGCGUCCUCCUGGUGGGGCUAGUGGAGGCCCCAAGCCCGGUGGAGCCGCCGGAGCGGAGCCGGCCGUACGCGGUGCUGCGCGGGCAGAACCUGGUGUUGAUGGGAACCAUUUUCAGCAUCCUACUGGUGACUGUCAUCCUUAUGGCAUUUUGUGUCUACAAGCCCAUUCGGCGUCGGUGACACCAAGCAAGUUGUGCCACGAGUUUUUGGAAACAGAAUAAGCUGUGAUGCACAUGAGCCAGUGGAGAAGUUGGAAUCAGAACCUUCCUACUUGGAAAUGUCCUUUGGUCUGGACAGUUGGUAAAUCCGAAGUGACUUAGAAGAAACGUCUACUAGCAAUGAUAUUUUCCUAAGAUCAUGCAGAUAACUGGCUGUUGAGUCUGCUUAUCAGUGUUCCUUUUUGAAAGGCUGUACUUGUUAAAAGUAAGGCCUGAGCCAGGCAUUUAGCUCAGUGGUUUCACUGCCUGCUGCGCAAGUGCAAGGACCCGAAUUUGAUCCCUGGUACCAAAAAAAAAAGUAAGGCCUGCAACUCUAAGGUUUAAUGUAAAGAUGUAAUGCUUGUGAGAAACAAAACAUUCUAAUCCUGUGUCUGUAAGAACCAAACUGGAAAGGACUAAUCAUUAAUGCUUGAAAUGGAGGGAGGGAGGCUAAACAUGUAGACAUUCCCUGCUUUAUUUUUUUGUUUAAUUUUUUUUUUGGUACUGGGGAUCGAACUCAGGACCUUGCACUUGCAAGGCAGCUGCGGCACCACUGAGCUAAAGCCUUGGCCCAACAUUCCCUGCUUUAGAGCCAUUCAGUUAUAGUACAUUACGAAGGACACGUUUUUAUUAUACUGAAUUGACCUAGAAUAGUGGUGGCAAACAUAGGGGCAGCAGGCUGUUUGUAUCAUUGAAAGCUCUAAAAGGUUCACCAUCACUGACCUAGAAUGUCCUGGUUGCAAAGCAGUGUCUAUUAUGGGCAAUUUAGGCCAGCAUUCCUCACCUGAACCUGGAUGUGUACUCAGAUGGCCCCACUGAAAUCAGGGUUGCAUCAGGUAGGCCUAUUACCAUGUGCACCCUUGGCCUAGAAAGUUCCAGGGUUGGCCUGAAAAUGUUCCUCAUUAGCCCAUCAGAACAAGGGUCCUAUCCUGCUCAACCAUUGAUCUGCUUUGUACUGUUUAAGUUUAUGCAGCCCUUGGCUUAAAACUCAUGCUAGCCUUUCAUAUUGGGAAUCCAAGAGACUCAGCAGGAUCCCUCUAUCAGCCCUUAAUGUGCUCAACUAAGAAGUGCAUGUCCACUGUGCAGGCUGGUGUGUUUACACGGAUUUAAUUUCAACUUUGAAAAUGCUGCUGUUACUUUGCACUGUUGGUGAAACUGGAUUAUUUUUUCCCUGGUUGAAAUGGUAAUUCAUAUUUAAUAAGUUGUUAGUGAUUAUUUUAAAGGUGCUAGAUUUUUGUUAUGAAAUUGAAAUGCUUAUGUUCCACUGAAGCGCAGCACUGAUUAUUUUUCUUUUUAACAACCUGCAUUCAAUGUGAAGUAACUAAUGAGGGCUACUGUCACUAUUUGACCCAAGGAUUUAGUUUGUAAGCUUCUAAAAUUGAGCCAUAAAAUUUUCACUGUUCUCUCCAUUUGAGCAAAAUGUCAAUUAAAAUUAAAAUUCUAUAUAGGGUUU